GAGGGUAUAGCUCAAGUGGUAGAGCACAUGCUUAACACACUUGCGGUCCUGGGUUCAAUCCCCAAUACCUCCA
rnacentral:tRNA from 1 species